CGCGUAGGCGGGAAUGUAAGUCAGACGUUAAAGACCGGAGCUUAACUCCGGGAAAGCAUCUGAAACUACAUUUCUUGAGGGUGGACGGAGAAAGCGGAAUUCCAUGUGUAGCGGUGAAAUGCGUAGAUAUAUGGAAGAACACCAGUGGCGAAAGCGGCUUUCUAGUUUACACCUGACGCUGAGGCGCGAAAGCUAGGGGAGCGAACAGGAUUAGAUACCCUGGUAGUCC
rnacentral:rRNA from 1 species